rnacentral:rRNA from 1 species
CCUACGGGUGGCAGCAGUGGGGAAUAUUGCACAAUGGGGGAAACCCUGAUGCAGCGACGCCGCGUGAGUGAAGAAGUAUCUCGGUAUGGAAAGCUCUAUUUGCAGGGAAGAAAAUGACGGUACAUGAUUAAGAAGCCAGGUCUAACUACGUGCCAGCAGCCGCGGUAAUACGUAGGGGGCAAGCGUUAUCCGGAUUUACUGGGGGUAAAGGGAGCGUAGACGGCAGCACAAGUCUGGAGUGAAAUGCCGGGGCUUAACCCCGGAACUGCUUUGGAAACUGUGCAGCUAGAGUGCAGGAGAGGUAAGUGGAAUUCCUAGUGUAGCGGUGAAAUGCGUAGAUAUUACGAAGAACACCAGUUGCGAAGGCGGCUUACUGGACUGUAACUGACGUUGAAGCUCGAAAGCGUGGGUAGCGAACAGGAUUAGAUACCCUUGUAGUC